GUAGGUGGCAAGCGUUGUCCGGGAAUUAUUGGGGCGUAAAGCGCGCGCAGGCGGUUCUUUAAGUCUGAUGUGAAAGCCCACGGGCUCAACCGUGGAGGGUCAUUGGAAACUGGAGAACUUGAGUACAGAAGAGGAAAGCGGAAUUCCACGUGUAGCGGUGAAAUGCGUAGAGAUGUGGAGGAACACCAGUGGCGAAGGCGGCUUUCUGGUCUGUAACUGACGCUGAGGCGCGAAAGCGUGGGGAGCAAACAGGAUUAGAUACCCUGGUAGUCCACGCCGUAAACGAUGAGUGCUAAGUGUUAAGGGGUUUCCGCCCCUUAGUGCUGCAGCUAACGCAUUAAGCACUCCGCCUGGGGAGUACGGCCGCAAAGGCUGA
rnacentral:rRNA from 1 species